rfam:Habropoda laboriosa contig2031, whole genome shotgun sequence.
GGAGUGGUUGGUGUAGCACGCAAAGCUUCGGCUUGCUAAGCCGAAGGUUCCGGGUUCGAUUCCCGUUGGCUCCC